AUGGGAUUUGCUGAAGAAACUGAAGAUGGAGAAGUCAUGGAAGACAGUCAUGACCCAGAAGAGUAUUAUGAAAAGCAGUGCCUCUCCCACUUCCAUCUCCGCUCGAAGGAGCAGCAUAGGAUGGGCACAUCAGGACCCUCAAUGCUGGGAUGUUGCUUAAGAAUGACAAGGGAUGAGAUCAAAGUUGAAGCCACCUACCACAGUCUCUAUGGGUUCCACUCGCCUUUGAAUGUGCCACUCGGCGUCCAAACAGGACACACUAAAAAGGAUUUCACUACAGAGAGGAUACAAAACUCACAGAGUUUCCAACUUCGAAGCACGUAUUCCAAGAAAAUAAUUGAUCGUGUGUACAAAGAUUUAAUUACAAGAAAGAGCCUGCACCAAGGUUUAUAAUAUGGAAAAUUGGGAAACGGCCUAAGUGUCUGGUGAUAGAAUCGUGGUUAAACAAGCUGUGAUACAUUCAUCCAGUAGAAUAUAUACAGUGUCAUUAAAAGUAAGGGGGAUGGAAAUGCCCGGGCACCAUAAGAUGUUCAAGAAAUAGUAACAGAACAAAGUAGGUUACUAGAGAAUCUUUUCAGUGGUCAUCCCAUUUUUAAACUCUUCUCAGUGAUUAUCCCAUUUUUAAAGUCUCUUUGCAUGUGCAUAGAAAGAGUCUGCAUCAAAAGUAGUUACUAACAGAGUUUUGUUUUUUUUUAAUUUCUACCCUUUUGAUCUUGAACUUCAAUUUGUAUAAUAAAUAUAUUUUACAUAAAAUUUUUAUAUAAGUU
rnacentral:lncRNA from 1 species